UUCAAUCAACAAAAACCUGAUUUAUAUUUUAAAUUAACUAACUAUUUAAAUAUCCUUUACCAAAACGUACAAAUUCUUGGCUUCAUGGUUACGUCUUAUAUUUCUCUCUCCCACUCUGGUCAAAAGCAACAAAACAUAAAAGCCUCUCUCCACAAACUCAUUUCAUUUUCAUCAAACCUGAACAACCUCUCUCUCUCUGAAAAACAAACCGAAAUAACAAAAACCGGACAAACAAAAAACAAACCACAAAACACUAUCCUCCAAAAUAUAAAAAAAAUAUCCAGAGCCCAACCAUCAUCCAUCAUCCAUCAUCCUCCGCCGCCUCACCCAAUCAUCUUCACCCUCCGUCCCUCUUUCUAA